rnacentral:rRNA from 1 species
UAGGGAAUCUUCCGCAAUGGACGCAAGUCUGACGGAGCAACGCCGCGUGAGUGAAGAAGGAUUUCGGUUCGUAAAACUCUGUUGUUAGAGAAGAACAGCGCAUAGAGUAACUGUUAUGCGUGUGACGGUAUCUAACCAGAAAGCCACGGCUAACUACGUGCCAGCAGCCGCGGUAAUACGUAGGUGGCAAGCGUUGUCCGGAUUUAUUGGGCGUAAAGCGAGCGCAGGCGGUUAGAUAAGUCUGAAGUUAAAGGCAGUGGCUCAACCAUUGUAGGCUUUGGAAACUGUUUAACUUGAGUGCAGAAGAGGAGAGUGGAAUUCCAUGUGUAGCGGUGAAAUGCGUAGAUAUAUGGAGGAACACCAGUGGCGAAGGCGACUCUCUGGUCUGUAACUGACGCUGAGGCUCGAAAGCGUGGGUAGCAAACAGG